CAAAGAGAUGGAAUAAUAUAGCAGGCAAGAAUUUUUAAACUAACUUUAUUCAACACCCUCAUUUGGAAGGCAACUGAGAAGGGUGCAGAGAAACUAAGCCUCCGGGUUUCCCGACACCAGGUCUACAGUUACGCACAAAGGGACUUGCAGUAUUCAUGAAGACGGUGUCUACUGCCAAAAAGAAAGAAAGAUAGAAGAGAGAAGGAGAAAGGCACUAGCACAGACAUGUUCUUGACAGAAUAGAAGAAUGUCCUGGAUUCGGGAGGCUGAUCUGCUCGUUAUGAAUGCACUUUGGAGAGGACGGAGUCUACCGUCAACCAUCAGGACCAAUCCCUCAGACCAGCUGGGAAAUUUCAGAAGAAGAAAGAAAUUUUUAAAAAAGGAAGGAAGGUUGGUUCAUUCAGCAAUUUGUUCAGCAUCUAUGCAUCAGGAAAUCGGGCAGGACAUGGCGGAGAUGUGCGGAUCUCUCCUCCUCAAUGCCGGGGGCCUCUUUUGGAAGAAGACUCAAAGGCUGGUGAUUGAAAUCACCAGAAGAUUCAUUCACACAGGUCAGGUGUUGAUGCUGGCCGUUGGUCACAGAUCUAGGAGUGUCCUAGGCUUCCACAAAACCAGCUCUGGGUUUUGAGGGUAAGCUCACAGGGGGGUGGGGGGAAGGAGCGCUCCCCUUUCUAUGACCUAGCCCAGAAGCCACCCUUCAGCCACACUGCCCUAAGUCAGGAGGAGGGGACAUAACCUCCCACAGCCUCAUCUCUGAGUGGGAAAAAUGUCAGUCAUAUUGUAAGAAGAGCAUGUGGAGUGGGAUCAAAUACAUAAGAGCAGCCAACGGUGGGAGAUACAAUUUCCCACAACCUUACACUCUCGUAAAGGACUUAGGGUGGGCCCUGGAUUGGGCAACACCAGGAGCCGUGUCUCCUGUCAGGACUCCAGGGAAGGGAAGGAUCAGAGGUUGCUUCUGAGUAGGGGUCGAGGCAGGCUUCAAAGAGGAAGCCGUGUUUGAGUUUUAUCCUGAUUGGACAGAAUUUCAGUUCAUUUAUUCAUUGUGCCUACUUGGUGUAUGGACGGUAGCAUGCUAAGUGGAAAAGGUAAUGGAAAUUUCUACUUCCAAAGGCUCAAAGCUGACAGUGACCCCUAGACAGGGGGUCAGGACUCCUCAGCGGUGAAGAGCCCAUUGGCACUCUUGCUUCCGCCCUUUCACUGUGCUGUCCGUCUCGUGCUGCAGACUCGUGCCUCACUCCUUCCUGGCUCCCUUGUCUCUGCUCCUACAGAUGGCGGACCAGGGGACACAUACCACUAGGGAAUUUGGG